rnacentral:rRNA from 1 species
AUUGAACGCUGGCGGCAUGCCUUACACAUGCAAGUCGAACGGCAGCACGGGAGCAAUCCUGGUGGCGAGUGGCGAACGGGUGAGUAAUACAUCGGAACGUGCCCAGUAGUGGGGGAUAGCCCGGCGAAAGCCGGAUUAAUACCGCAUACGACCUGAGGGUGAAAGCGGGGGAUCGCAAGACCCCGCGCUAUUGGAGCGGCCGGUGUCGGAUUAGCUAGUUGGUGGGGUAAAGGCUCACCAAGGCAACGAUCCGUAGCUGGUCUGAGAGGACGACCAGCCACACUGGGACUGAGACACGGCCCAGACUCCUACGGGAGGCAGCAGUGGGGAACUUUGGACAAUGGGCGCAAGCCUGAUCCAGCCAUGCCGCGUGCGGGAAGAAGGCCUUCGGGUUGUAAACCGCUUUUGUCAGGGAAGAAACGCUCUGGGCUAAUACCCCGGGGUAAUGACGGUACCUGAAGAAUAAGCACCGGCUAACUACGUGCCAGCCGCCGCAGUAAAAC